rnacentral:rRNA from 1 species
AGAAUCAACGCUGGCGGCGUGCCUAACACAUGCAAGUCGAACGAGAAAGUGGAGCAAUCCAUGAGUAAAGUGGCGCACGGGUGAGUAACACGUGACUAACCUACCUUUUAGUGGGGGAUAACCUAGGGAAACCUGGGCUAAUACCGCAUAAUACCUACGGGUCAAAGCAGCAAUGCGCUGAAAGAGGGGGUCGCGGUCGAUUAGUUAGUUGGCAGGGUAAUGGCCUACCAAGACUGUGAUCGAUAUCCGGCCUGAGAGGGCGCACGGACACACUGGAACUGAAACACGGUCCAGACUCCUACGGGAGGCAGCAGUGGGAAUUUUGCGCAAUGGGGGAAACCCUGACGCAGCAACGCCGCGUGGAGGAUGAAGUCCCUUGGGACGUAAACUCCUUUCGAUCGGGACGAUAAUGACGGUACCGGAAGAAGAGCCCCGGCUAACUUCGCGCCAGCAGCCGC